rnacentral:rRNA from 1 species
UACGAAGGGGGCUAGCGUUGCUCGGAAUCACUGGGCGUAAAGCGCACGUAGGCGGAUUGUUAAGUCGGGGGUGAAAUCCUGGAGCUCAACUCCAGAACUGCCUUCGAUACUGACGAUCUCGAGUCCGGGAGAGGUGAGCGGAACUCCGAGUGUAGAGGUGAAAUUCGUAGAUAUUCGGAAGAACACCAGUGGCGAAGGCGGCUCACUGGCCCGGUACUGACGCUGAGGUGCGAAAGCGUGGGGAGCAAACAGG